ensembl:lncRNA
UUAGAGGCAGUGUUAUGCAUACAGCGAUGUAAAGAAAAGCUUCUUCGUCUCCUUAAAGACGUGGAAAAACUGUCUCUGUGUCAAGUGAUGUCAUCGCUUUAUUUGAGAAAUAGAUUUAGAAAAUUCAAACCAUAAAAAGGAAAUAAACCACACUCUUUUGUGCAACUUUGGGGUCGGCACUUUCAGCCAGGGAAAGCAUGAAGAGAGCACAUUUUGGCUAAGGUAGGGAUCCCUGUAAGAUAUAUUAUUGUUCAAAAGUUUGGGGUUGGUAAGAUUUUUUUUAACCUUAUUAAAAGAAGUCUCUUGUGCUCAACAAGGCUACAUUUAUUUGAUAAAAACUACAGUAAGAACAAACAAUCACAUGUAAUGUCAUAAAGUCCAAAAUCUGUUUAUUUACAUGUUUAAAUCAAAUUACACAUUUUCAGUGUGGCUUUAUUGCAAUACCUGAAUGCAUUGUAAUCUUAUUUCCCAUUCCGCCAGGCCAAAGUUUUGAGACUUUGAACAGUUUAUUUGGAGUGGGACUGUCAGAAGUACCUGGAGAAAGCUCUUCAUGCUGUGUGCUUGGCUAAUAAGGAGCAUAUGCAGCUGUCAGGCCUUUAGCUGAAGAUUCGUAUCCUAGUUAAAAGCCGCAGCCCAGAUGAUGCACCAGGCAUUACAGAAACACUGACAUGUUGCUGUAUCAGGGAGGUUCUGGCCUUUGACUUCCUGAAGAGGGUGUGUCAGUACUUUGAGUCAUCUCUUGAACUGGGCUCUGCUCUGCUCAUGCAUAUAGAGCUGCUGCUGGCCAAGCGGAAGACUGGUUGUGCUUGAUUGAUUGUGAUGAAGUUGUCUUUUCUAACUCUUAGCGUGGAACUCGGUCCUGCAAUGUGAGCACAGUUCUGUGAGGAUGAGCGAUUUCUUUCUUCUCUCCUUCCAGCCAGAGGACUUUCCAGAACUGGAGACCCUGUGGUUGCUGACCCGAGCGUGGAAUACGGGAAUCCUACUCUACAGUCUGGCCCAGUAUCCCAAGGCUGAGAGGUGGUGCAGGCUGGGAAUGAGCUUCCUGAAGCACCUGGGCUCCCUGCAGGACAGCUAUCAGACUCCGUCAGGUGCGCAAGCUGCUUCUUUUGUCACCUCAGUGGGAGGCUUAAUUAGAGCAGCAGGAUGGUUACAGCUAUGUGGAUGGCAGGUCUGUACAGUGAGGUGUUGGACAGGCUGGAUAAAGCAAAGAAUCAUCUCAUUAUUGAAGAAUGAAUGA